GUCAGAAAGCUGUUCUGAUGGUGGGAUCAUGGAGAAUCAGAGAAGACAAUGUGGAUGCUUCCCCAGGCUGCCUCCAGGACCAGUCCCUGGGGACAAGGAGAGAGACAGCAAUCCAGGCAUGGGAGGGUCUGCGAUCAGUCACCCUGUCCAGAGCCCCCAGCCAUGACACGUAAGGCAUGCUGGGCAGUGGGCCGGGGAGCUUCAAAAGGGACCUGUGGCUCCAACAGGAGGGAGAAGCAAAGUGAUGCCUUAUGCCUGUCCAGAGGGGAUGCCGUCACAAGAGGAAGCUGUGUGGGUGACACGGGGACCCCAGACUGGAGAGAAGGGGGAGCAUGAAGUGAGGUACAUGAGUUUCUAGGAGCCCACACAUGAGGAUGAGGGCUUUUGAGCCUGGAGGGCUGGGAACUGGGUUGGGGGGAGUUGAGGUGGGAAAAAGAUUGAAAGAGGAAGAGGGGAAGGCAGUUCCUUCUUGCAUGGCCAGGACCGCAGAUUGAGAUCUGUCCUCAUUACCUUUGAAUGCACAUCUUUUCAGCCAUUUUUUAUUUAAGGAAGCAUUGUUGUAUUUUAGGGGCGGAACCCACUGAAUUGGACAUUGUCAGAUGUUUACUUAGAAUGAACAAAAACUAUUAUUAUGUUCCAUGUCCUACUCUGUAAGAUAUAAAAUGUGAGAAACAUGAUUUCAUCGCAAGGGUGAUGCUGGCCACCUGCACCCUGUGAAUGCAUUACUGUCUGCUCACCACACCACUUCACCCAGUAUCUGUCCCCCAUACCCCUUCACCCAGGGUAUGCCUGCCACACCCCUUACCCAGGGUCCACCAGUUAGAGCUUGGCUGAGUCCUCAGGGCCUCUGGCAGCUCCUGGGGGCUGGGAACGAGGUUGGUCUGGUAGAAGCUGGCAUUAGAAGCUGUACAGGUCAGGAGGAAUUCCUUCUGCAUCCUCCCUGUCUCAGAGUGAAGCCCACGGUCCCAGGAGGAAGUUCCGAAGAUGUUCUAGUCCUAACCCUGGACAUGGCCAGGCGCCAGGCCAUCCCAGCACAGGAUGCAGCAGCCAGGUGCCUUAGGGGACACCUGUUCUCCAGGUCUCCAUUGGUAAGAGAAUGGCAGCAAGUCCCACUGCUGUCAAACACAGGGUCACCCGACAGUUAG
ensembl:lncRNA